rnacentral:rRNA from 1 species
UACGGAGGGUGCGAGCGUUGUCCGGAAUCACUGGGCGUAAAGGGCGCGUAGGUGGCCGAGCAAGGUCGCGGUGAAAGCCCGGGGCUCAACCCCGGGUCGGCCGUGGCAACUACUGGGCUGGAGCACUGUAGGGGCGGGUGGAAUUCCGGGUGUAGCGGUGGAAUGCGUAGAGAUCGGGAAGAACAUCAGUGGCGAAGGCGGCCUGCUGGGCUGUUGCUGACGCUGAGGCGCGACAGCGUGGGGAGCAAACAGG